rnacentral:lncRNA from 1 species
CAGCUAUGAUUCUUUCAAUUUGCACUGAAACUAGCUGUAAAGGUUAGUAUGCUAUAUUUUGGAUAGUGUACCUUUUCUUUCCAACUCCUCUGCAUUUUAAGGUAAACCUUUUGUUAAACACAGUUCAAUUCCAGUUUCCUUCCUGCAUCAGCAUGGAUAUCUGGAACUGGCAAUAACCUCAGCUGAGUGCAGGCUUAACACACCUCAGUACACACAUGCGCUAGUACCACCAAGACUGCUGAAAUUUACAGGAAUUCCAGUACUCAUUUCAAGAUUCAUUAAUUUUGCAGGCAACUUUCUUCUGGAUGUUACAAGGUAGCAGGUUGUAGGUUUAGUCUGCAGGUCAAAUGCUAGAAGGCACACAGUUGUAAGUGCAACCUUGAGCUUUCCUAUUCAAAAUAGACUAUUGUAGUACUACUGAUCAGAUGCUUAACCUAAAAUACUUAAACGUACCAGGCUGUGUAAAUACGUAAAGUUAUAUUUUACUUUGGUCAAAGAAUUGGAAGCAGAAAUGAAACAGCGGUUAACAGAAAUGCAUACUCAUUAUGCUCUUACAUUUGGGCUGCAUAAGUACAUGGUAGGGAUGUUUAUAACGUCAUCCGUUUUAUUUCUCACAGCAGCAGGUCAGCAAGGAAAGUGUGAACCUGUGCUGACCAGGUUGGAGCUCCUGCACUACAUGGACCCCAUUCUGUCUCCUGUGGCUCUGGAUCACCUCUCCUCCCUAGAGAGUUUGACCGUGUUUUACCGACAAAGGAGUGUGGAGGCCCACGAGUGUAACCUGAACAAAUGGCUGCACAAGCUUCCGUGCCUGAGUGAGCUCACAGUUAUGAAUGGCUACUCUCUCGGCGCAUACGUGCACUCCGUGCCAGCAAUGUUGAGGACGCUAUGCCUGCAGAAUGUGGUUUUCGGGCCGGCAGACCUGAGCGCAAUAGGGAAGCGAGCGCCAGGCAUACAGCACCUCUCUGUGGACAGGAGGAUCUGUGAUGGCCAGCGGAGCCUGCAAGAGGUCCCUGUCCUCUUUCACCAGCUGAGGACUCUCCAGAUGAGGUGAGAUGUCUGUGGCUUACAGACUUGACUCAACCUCGUUAUGUGGCUGCUUAGU